rnacentral:rRNA from 1 species
ACUGAACGCUGGCGGCAUGCUUUACACAUGCAAGUCGAACGGUAACAGGCCGCAAGGUGCUGACGAGUGGCGAACGGGUGAGUAAUGCAUCGGAACGUGCCCAGUCGUGGGGGAUAACGCAGCGAAAGCUGUGCUAAUACCGCAUACGAUCUAUGGAUGAAAGCGGGGGACCGUAAGGCCUCGCGCGAUUGGAGCGGCCGAUGUCAGAUUAGGUAGUUGGUGGGGUAAAGGCCUACCAAGCCGACGAUCUGUAGCUGGUCUGAGAGGACGACCAGCCACACUGGGACUGAGACACGGCCCAGACUCCUACGGGAGGCAGCAGUGGGGAAUUUUGGACAAUGGGCGCAAGCCUGAUCCAGCAAUGCCGCGUGCAGGAAGAAGGCCUUCGGGUUGUAAACUGCUUUUGUACGGAACGAAACGGUCUGGGUUAAUACCCUGGGCUAAUGACGGUACCGUAAGAAUAAGCACCGGCUACCUACGUGCCAGCCGCCGCAGUAAUAC